rnacentral:rRNA from 1 species
AUUGAACGCUGGCGGCAGGCCUAACACAUGCAAGUCGAGCGAGCGGCGGACGGGUGAGUAAUGUCUGGGAAACUGCCUGUUGGGGGGGGAUAACUACUGGGAACGGUAGCUAAUACCGCAUACCAUCAGGUCUGCCCAGAUGGGAUUAGCUGGUGGGUGGGGUAACGGCUCACCUAGGCGACGAUCCCUAGCUGGUCUGAGAGGAUGACCAGCCAAACUGGAACUGAGACACGGUCCAGACUCCUACGGGAGGAAGCAGUGGGGAAUAUUGCACAAUGGGCGCAAGCCUGAUGCAGCCAUGCCGCGUGUGUGAAGAAGGCCUGCGGGUUGUAAAGCACUUUCAGCGGGGAGGCGUUACCCGCAGAAGAAGCACCGGCUAACUCCGUGCCAGCAGCCGCGGUAAUUC